rnacentral:lncRNA from 1 species
GGUCGAAAUCAGACGCACUGGAUGACAUCUUUAGCAAACCAUCAAGAAAAGAUCUGUUUAGUGGCAUUGAUGACGAAGAUGAAGAUUUAUUUAAACCAGCGGAGCCAGAGGACAUUGAUGACAUUACAAAAUAUAUCGAGAAAAAUAUCGGGAAUAUUGGCAAUGAGGAAGUGGACCUUUUUUCAUAGGUCAUAGGAAAUUAAAUUGAAAAUUAAGGAAAAGCAAAGACCUUUGACUUCGAGAGGCACUAUCGCUCCGCCACGUUUCAGUUCCCCUUUUUCUCUUUUUCUACAAACUCAAAGUUGUACUAGCUUUGGUUCAACUGUGUUAUAAAGAUGUGUUGCGCCAAAGAGAGGAUGAUAACAAGUUUGUAGUAGCAGAUAUUUAACGAAAAAAUCUCACAGUCGUAGUCGGUUCUCGUAGCCGUCGUCAAAUCUAAAGUUCCCUAUUAUUAAGGUCCAGACACACCGGACGCGAUUGGACAACGCGACGCGAUUUUGCGAUUUUCACUGACCGAUAACUUUGAUCCUAGUUUAAAGUUUCCAAAUAUUUAGAAGCCCUAUAACCAUGAUUAUUAUACACUGUAGUUGGUAAAAGCAAUUUGAUUGGCUAAGAGCUUACAGUUAAAUCGCGCAAUCACGCAACCUACAGAAAAUUCAGUUAUCUGCUAGCAGAUAACUCAGUUAUCUGCAAACGAGCCUGCGAUGAUUAGCAAGCGGUAUCUAUUUACAGUUAAAAUACAAGAACCUUUCCACUUCCGGUUCUGUAACUUGUUUUGUAUUUCUGUAAUUUGUUCUAUUUUUGGUAGCGAUUUCUGUCGACAAAUAUCGCGGUAGAAUUCCCCUUUCUUUCCUUUAUAUACGUCAAUUUGUAGCAAAGGAUACACCUUUCGUUAGAUUCUUUGCAUAAAAUUUGUGAAAUUUUCAUUUUAGUACGUCACUGAAUGAUUGUAUUCGGUAAUUUUAAAUUUGUAUAGUAUGAACACACUAGGCGGCGGUUUAAAACCGAUUUAUCAUCGCUAUAAGAUCUAAGUUUCGCAACUUUUAUGCAAAGAAUCU